rnacentral:rRNA from 1 species
UACGGAGGGUGCAAGCGUUAUCCGGAUUCACUGGGUUUAAAGGGUGCGUAGGAGGGCAGGUAAGUCAGUGGUGAAAUCUCCAAGCUUAACUUGGAACUGCCGUUGAUACUAUCUGUCUUGAAUAUUGUGGAGGUGAGCGGAAUAUGUCAUGUAGCGGUGAAAUGCUUAGAUAUACAUAGAACACCAAUUGCGAAAGCAGCUCACUACUCAAUCAUUGACUCUGAGGCACGAAAGCGUGGGGGAUCAAAACAGG